rnacentral:rRNA from 1 species
GAUGAACGCUGGCGGCGUGCCUAACACAUGCAAGUCGAGCGGCAGCGAGGGGUGCUUGCACCCUGUCGGCGAGCGGCGGACGGCUGAGUAACGCGUGGGAACGUGCCCCAAAGUGAGGAAUAACUGCCCGAAAGGGUAGCUAAUACCGCAUAUUAUCUUCGGAUCAAAGGAUUUAUCCGCUUUGGGAGCGGCUCGCGUCGGAUUAGGUAGUUGGUGAGGUAAUGGCUCACCAAGCCGACGAUCCGUAGCUGGUCUGAGAGGAUGACCAGCCAGACUGGAACUGAGACACGGUCCAGACUCCUACGGGAGGCAGCAGUGAGGAAUCUUCCACAAUGGGCGAAAGCCUGAUGGAGCAACGCCGCGUGCAGGACGAAGGCCUUAGGGUUGUAAACUGCUUUUAUAAGUGAGGAAUAUGACGGUAACUUAUGAAUAAGGAUCGGCUAACUACGUG